AUUGUGUGAAUAGGAUGCGUUUCAUACAAGAUCUGGCAACUCGUCAACAUUAGACAAACAUAUUGGUGCGAUUAUUUAUAAAGGAGUUUGGGCCAUGCAAAUUACGGGAGUUUCCCGGGAGAAAUAACAAACCGGGAGGGGUUCGGGAGAUAGGUAUCUUUUCUUUUAUUAUGAUUUUUUUU